CAAUAAAGCAAAAGAGGAAUGGUCAUGGAUUGAUAAUGGCCAAUCUGAAUUUUCCUUGAACCUAAAAAAAUACAAUGAAAAGUAUGGAGGAUGUAUGUUCUUAUCUCAAACAAGACUAGAAAAUGCUAUGUGCAUGAACCGUUACCCAUGUAUUUGUCAGAAGAGACUGGAUAACUUCCCUGAUUGACUCUCCAACAAGAGUUAAAGGAUUUAGUCUGCUGUGCAAACAACGAGAUGAGCUGGAAGAGUGUGGGAAUGUUCUCUGGAAUCUGAUGUGGCAGAGCAGAGGCUUCUUCCAUCCUGGUGAAGACAGGACACAUUUUCUCUGGUGCAUGGACAUGGUUUGCUUCAAAGUCUCCAGGACUCUGCUCUUUCUGAUUUCUUAAACUCUUAUACAAUUAAAUCAAAUCCCAAUAACC
rnacentral:lncRNA from 1 species